rnacentral:rRNA from 1 species
UACAGAGGUCUCAAGCGUUGUUCGGAUUCAUUGGGCGUAAAGGGUGCGUAGGCGGUGCUCUAAGUCGGAUGUGAAAACUCUGGGCUCAACCCAGAGCCUGCAUCCGAAACUGGAGUGCUAGAGUUCUGGAGGGGGUAGCGGAAUUCCUGGUGUAGCGGUGAAAUGCGUAGAUAUCAGGAGGAACACCGGUGGCGAAGGCGGCUACCUGGACAGAAACUGACGCUGAGGCGCGAAAGCUAGGGGAGCAAACAGG